GCAAGUCGAGCGGUAACAUUUCUAGCUUGCUAGAAGAUGACGAGCGGCGGACGGGUGAGUAAUGCUUGGGAAUAUGCCUUAUGGUGGGGGACAACAGUUGGAAACGACUGCUAAUACCGCAUAACGUCUACGGACCAAAGGGGGGGAUCUUUGGACCUCCGGCCAUUAGAUUAGCCCAAGUGAGAUUAGCUAGUGGGUGAGGUAAUGGAUCACCAAGGCGACGAUCUCUAGCUGGUUUGAGAGGAUGAUC
rnacentral:rRNA from 1 species